UACGGGGGGGGCAAGCGUUGUUCGGAAUUACUGGGCGUAAAGGGCUCGUAGGCGGCCAACUAAGUCCGACGUGAAAUCCCCAGGCUCAACUUGGGAACUGCGUCGGAUACUGGAUGGCUUGAAUUCGGGAGAGGGAUGCAGAAUUCCAGGUGUAGCGGUGAAAUGCGUAGAUAUCUGGAGGAACACCGGUGGCGAAGGCGGCGAUCC
rnacentral:rRNA from 1 species